UUUUUUUUUUUUUUUUUUUGCUUUUUAGGACUGCACCCAAGGCAUAUGGAGGUUCCCAGGCUAGGGGUCCAAUUGGAGCUAUAGCCACUGGCCUACACCAGAGCCACAGCAACGCGGGAUCCAAGCUGCAUCUGCGACCCACACCACAGCUCAUGGCAACGCUGGAUCCUUAACCCACUGAGCAAGGCCAGGGAUCGAACCCACAACCUCUUCGUUAACCACUGCGCCACGACAGGAAUUCCCCAAUGAUGAUGUUUUGAUCGAUGUUUUUCAUUCCUCUUCUCUGUGACAUCCCGCCACCCCACCCCCACCCUCACCCCAUAGAAUGGAGGCGCCUGUCCUCUCUUCAUUGCCCUCCCCACCCCCAUCCCCCGCCAGGGAGCUCUGCAAGGGAGCAAAGUGUGUAUGAAGGAGGGAGGGAGGGACAGGUUAGUUUCCUGGGCCUGAAACUAAAUGACAGUGUGUGAAACUAAAGCUGGAUUUUGCUGAUCUGUUGGCUCUUACCCAUGUGCACUCUCCACCCCAGCUUUUUUUAAAAAUUUUUUAAUUUUUGUCUUUCUUUUUAGAGCCACACCUAGGGCACAUGGAGGCUCCCAGGCUAGGAAUCCAGUUGGAGCUGUAGCUGCCGGCCUACACCACAGUCACAGCAAUGCAAGAUCUGAGCCACGUCUGUGACCUCCACCACAGCUUACAGCAGUGCUGGAUCCUUGACCCACUGAGCAAGGCCAGGGAUGGAACCCGCAACCUCAUGGGUCCUAGUCAGAUUUGUUUCCACUAUGCUAUGAUGGGAACUCCCCACCCACGCCAACCUUUUAAAAUGUCCAGGCAGGCAAGGUCCUCUCACAGGUGCUUGUGUAUCAGCCCAAGUAGCUACUAAUCCACCUGUGCCACCUUGGCCCGCCCAGGUUCCCCCGUGAUGAAGGGAGCAUCUCUCCUGCUCCAUGGGUGCCCAAAGCUGGGGACAGAUCAAAAGACCCAGGGUUUCUUGGGUCUUGUGUGAACAUAGGGUUUGAUAGGAUGGCAGAUCACAGCCACCAGGCUGAGUACAAAACCCACUUCCCUUCUGCUCUAAUUCUCAACCAGCCCUGAUCCCCCUGGUAGUUUUUCCCCACCUCUAAGUCUCCAGCCCACUGUUCCUUCCUGAUUUUGCUAGACAAAAUCUUUUUUGCUCGUGUGCCUCUAAACCCCAUGUGCAAGCAGAGCUCAGGUCUGUCCUCUGCAUCCAGUCUCCUGCCAGGACCUCCUGGGAUGGAUCGGUGGGUACCAGCAUAUGGAGAAGGUGGCAGUCACUGGCCAGGUGGAUCUCAGCUCAGUUCCACCCGGACGGGCUGCUCCACCACAGGAGGCCAUGGGAGUCACUGAGAGAUGGAAAUGGUUGAUGGCUUUCUUCUCCUGGUAGAAGUUUGUGUUAGAUUUGUUUCUAAUGAUGAAGUUGCACUUAAGUCAUUUUGCAGGUGGGGAGGUCAGGGAGUUGAAUUCAUUCAGAUCAAACUUAACUGGUUUGCAUGAUACUUGUUAGAUUAUCUUUUAAACCCCUCUUUCACCUGAUCUCUGUAUGUGAAAUAGUGAAAUGCUUUCGUAUUUAUCUCCCCGUACCAAGAGAGGUAUGGAUAUGUGGAGAGAUUAAUUUAUUAAAGGGCAAGUGAAGUUAUAGCCCCUUCCCUUUUUUGUUUUUUUAUUUUUAUUUUUAAUCAUUUUGCCAUGUCCACGGCAUGCAGAAGUUCCCGGGCCUGGGAUUGAAUCCCAGCCCCAGCAGUGAAAACGCCCAAUCUUUAACUUCUAGGCCACCAGCCCCUUCAUUUUUUAAAAUAUUACUUUCAACUCUAAUAACUGUUUCUAAAAUUUGACUCUAAGCAUCAGUGAAAUUGGGGACCACGACUGCUUACUCCCGUCAUCCUUUUAGCACCUGGCACCGAGGCACUUAGUGCUGCCGUAAUGCACAAAUAAAGAAUUUAUUGCAGGAUCUGCCACAUUGGAGCUGUCUGCUGGAGGAUGUAUUAUGUAAGAAGCUCGUGUGAAGCUUUAAAAUUGUAUCAGAUGAAGUAGGUGAAGUCCCUAGAGGAGGUGAAUCAGUGGGAGGAGGCUGUGAUGGUUUAUUUCUGUUCCCGCCUGGUACAGGCCCAGGAGGGUCUGCUGGCUGAUCCAAUGUAAAGCCUACAUGGCAGGCUGGGGGGCUGAUGGGCCCACAGCAGACCCAUGGGUUGGAGGCAUGGAGGAAGCCCAGCGGCAGCAGGCCUGGUUUGGCCCCAGGGCUGUGCAUGGGAUGAAAGUUGCAGGCCUCAUGGGCUCGGUAAAGUGGACUGGCCAUGUCCAUUUGGCAUUUAUUACAGCCACAGGGCUGGUUCACGACUCCAGGCGGGGGACAGGGGACUCUCUGCUGAAUUUCUCCUGGCUGCUUCUGUAUGGGCAUUAGCUUGGUUCUUUCCAGACUCUGAUGCAGCCCUAGCAGUUCCCAUGUUUACAUGUUAUAGGCGUGGCCACAGUGGGGGACGGUCCUGAUCCCCGGCCUGGCCCAAAUACUGCAUUGCUGAGCAACAUGAAAUAAUAGUUCCAUCAGCCACAGCCAGGCCUGGGGAUGAAGUCAGAGCCACACAGGACUCCCCAGGGCCCACCUGGUGGCGAUGAGUAAAUAGUCCUAGGGAAGAAAUUUAAUUAGGAAUCCAGUUUACACAGAAAAAUGUCUUUGGUGUUUAAAAUAAUUAAUAUUUUUACAAGUUGCUUUCAGGUUUUCAUUUGACCUGUGGGGGUGCAGGACAGUAGUGGAGCUACAGAAAGAUUAGGCUAGAUAUGUGGGUCCAGAAAAUAGCAAAAUGCGGUGUUGAGAAGAAGUGGGCAUCCGCCAGUUACUCACACUUGAUCUUAUCUUUUUCCAAAGCCUCGGUUUACAGCUCCAAGACGUGGGGGUGAUGAUUCGUGCUUGUCUGUAUCAUAAGAUUCUGCUGAAGAUUAGGUGGGUGGUUUGCCCCAGCCUCUCCUCUCAUUCCUUAGGCUGUCCCUAGGUGUCUUAAUUUCUCAGGUGCAGAAUCAGGUGUUUCUCCAUCAAACAACCGAAACUAUCCAGAAAUCUGAUCUCCCACCUUGUUGCACUGGCUUAUUUUUUGGCAGUUUCUCCCUUCUCCUCACUUCAUUUCUGCUUCUCUUGUCUUGGUUUAGGCCAUCAUCUUCUGUUGCCGGAUGCUUUUGUAGCCA
rnacentral:lncRNA from 1 species